CUGAAGUUGCUGCGAAGAAGAUUGAAACUACAAGUCAGAGCUUUUUGAAGUGCAAUGGAUUGAAACGACAAGACAGUGGACUGGAAUGAAGCUACCUGAAGAAGAAAAGCACCAAGAAGUCGAGACUCGACGAGACCGGGCAAAAUUGGGCUUUCUUAGUCUUUGCUCUGUUAUCGUUACACGACAACGAGCAAAGAGGGGCAGCUGUACAAGCCCAAUUUGAACCCUUCCCAAACCCAUUACAAAACAACCCACCAGCCCAAACCCAAGACCCAAA
rnacentral:lncRNA from 1 species